GCCAGACUCCUACGGGAGGCAGCAGUGGGGAAUAUUGCACAAUGGGGGAAACCCUGAUGCAGCGACGCCGCGUGAGUGAAGAAGUAUUUCGGUAUGUAAAGCUCUAUCAGCAGGGAAGAAAAUGACGGUACCUGAUUAAGAAGCCCCGGCUAACUACGUGCCAGCAGCCGCGGUAAUACGUAGGGGGCAAGCGUUAUCCGGAUUUACUGGGUGUAAAGGGUGCGCGGGCGGCCUGUUAAGUCAGCGGUAAAAGCCGGGGGCUCAAUCCCGGCGAGCCGUUGAAACUGGCGGGCUGGAGUUGGAGAGAAGUACGCGGAAUGCGCGGUGUAGCGGUGAAAUGCUUAGAUAUCGCGCUGAACCCCGAUUGCGAAGGCAGCGUACCGGCUCCACACUGACGCUGAGGCACGAAAGCGUGGGUAUCGAACAGGAUUAGAUACCCUAGUCCCC
rnacentral:rRNA from 1 species